rnacentral:rRNA from 1 species
GUAGGUGGCAAGCGUUGUCCGGAAUUAUUGGGCGUAAAGCGCGCGCAGGCGGGUUCUUUAAGUCUGAUGUGAAAGCCCACGGGCUCAACCGUGGAGGGUCAUUGGAAACUGGAGAACUUGAGUACAGAAGAGGAAAGCGGAAUUCCACGUGUAGCGGUGAAAUGCGUAGAGAUGUGGAGGAACACCAGUGGCGAAGGCGGCUUUCUGGUCUGUAACUGACGCUGAGGCGCGAAAGCGUGGGGAGCAAACAGGGUUAGAUACCCUGGUAGUCCACGCCGUAAACGAUGAGUGCUAAGUGUUAGGGGGUUUCCGCCCCUUAGUGCUGCAGCUAACGCAUUAAGCACUCCGCCUGGGGAGUACGGCCGCAAGGCUG